AUUGAACGCUGGCGGCAUGCCUUACACAUGCAAGUCGAACGGCAGCACGGGUGCUUGCACCUGGUGGCGAGUGGCGAACGGGUGAGUAAUACAUCGGAACAUGUCCUGUAGUGGGGGAUAGCCCGGCGAAAGCCGGAUUAAUACCGCAUACGAUCUACGGAUGAAAGCGGGGGACCUUCGGGCCUCGCGCUAUAGGGUUGGCCGAUGGCGGAUUAGCUCGUUGGUGGGGUAAAGGCCUACCAAGGCGACGAUCAGUAGCUGGUCUGAGAGGACGACAAGCCACACUGGGACUGAGACACGGCCCAGACUCCUACGGGAGGCAGCAGUGGGGAAUUUUGGACAAUGGGCGAAAGCCUGAUCCAGCAAUGCCGCGUGUGUGAAGAAGGCCUUCGGGUUGUAAAGCACUUUUGUCCGGAAAGAAAUCCUUGGCCCUAAUACGGUCGGGGGAUGACGGUACCGGAAGAAUAAGCACCGGCUAACUACGUG
rnacentral:rRNA from 1 species